rnacentral:misc_RNA from 1 species
AAGUCGUAACAAGGUUUCCGUAGGUGAACCUGCGGAAGGAUCAUUGCGAACUGAGAUUGGGAUAUUAUCCCAACAUAUGGUCUCGGACCGAGUAUUAUUUAUUCGGCCCGCUUGACAUUUACGCUUGUCUUGUUUGUCAGAGUCAAAAUGCGAUGUUUAUACAACUUUUAACAAUGGAUCUCUUGGCUCUU